rnacentral:antisense_RNA from 1 species
UUUCAAAAAAAGAUGAGUCUCUUGUCAGGCAACACAAGUCAGGGUAGGGGUGGGUGCAGACCCCAGAGCAGCUGCCCAGUCUGGAUGGGGGUGCUGCCCUGUCACACCACAGGGCCAGCUUUUCCACAGUGCAGGUUGCUCAGUUUCCAGGUAGGGACACGGCGGGGCACGUUUUCUGCCCGGGGAGUUGUGCCUGACAGGGGAGACAGCCCCAUGACACUGCUGUGCCUCCGAGGAGGCCAGGAGGGACAAAGAGCAGUUCCUUUGGGUGAGGGUCUGUGAUGAGGCACCAGGAGGGCCAUUGUCUGCUGGGGGCUGGAGGAUGACCAGCCAGUUGGCAUAGAGGCUGGGGCAGGACGGUGAGUCCUCCAGCAGCAGUGGGUGGGUGGAGCAGUUCACACGG